rnacentral:rRNA from 1 species
ACGCUGGCGGCGUGCUUAACACAUGCAAGUCGAACGGUGAACCAGAGCUUGCUCUGGGGAUCAGUGGCGAACGGGUGAGUAACACGUGGGCAACCUGCCCCAGACUCUGGGAUAACCUCGGGAAACCGAUGCUAAUACCGGAUACGACCACUUCGGACAUCCGACGGUGGUGGAAGGUUUUUCGGUCUGGGAUGGGCCCGCGGCCUAUCAGCUAGUUGGUGGGGUAAUGGCCUACCAAGGCGACGACGGGUAGCCGGCCUGAGAGGGCGACCGGCCACACUGGAACUGAGACACGGUCCAGACUCCUACGGGAGGCAGCAGUGGGGAAUACUGCACAAUGGGCGAAAGCCUGAUGCAGCGACGCCGCGCGAGGGACGACGGCCUUCGGGUUGUAAACCUCUUUCAGCAGGGACGAAGCGAAAGUGACUGUACCUGCAGAAGAAGCACCGGCUAACUACGUG